rnacentral:lncRNA from 1 species
AAAUCUUCUUGGGCUAAAAUCACUUGAGUCAAGCACCCCUAUCGUAAGCUCUUUAGUUAAAAGAUUCAUCACUUUUUCUAAAAUCUUCUCAUCAAUACCAAUUAUGCACCCUUAUACUACGCUCGAUCUAUUCCUUGGGUCAUAGUUUACAAUGUAUUCUUCUACCAAUGCUAUAUUAAUUAAUGGCAAGCUAUCUGAUUUUUGCAAAAAAUAAAAUAUUUAUAUAUUUUAAAAAUCUCAUAUUUUUCUUGGCAUCUAGCAGAUCUCUAAUUUCAUAGGCUCCAUAUUGGUAAUGAUUACUAUGGAUGGUGGUCCCAAAUUACAUUUAGCUUUCACAUUUUGAUUACUUUCUUCUUUAUCCAUACCUAUCUUUGUACUCUCAAUCGCCACAACGCACACUCUUUCAAGCUCUAAUCAUCAAUGCUACUCUCCAGUAUUCUUAAAACACAAGAAAUUGUAACAUAGAAAA